UACGAAGGGGGCUAGCGUUGCUCGGAAUCACUGGGCGUAAAGGGUGCGUAGGCGGGUCUUUAAGUCAGGGGUGAAAUCCUGGAGCUCAACUCCAGAACUGCCUUCGAUACUGGAGAGCUUGAGUCCGGGAGAGGUGAGUGGAACUGCGAGUGUAGAGGUGAAAUUCGUAGAUAUUCGCAAGAACACCAGUGGCGAAGGCGGCUCACUGGCCCGGUACUGACGCUGAGGUGCGAAAGCGUGGGGAGCGAACAGG
rnacentral:rRNA from 1 species